GGGCUUGUUUUAGAAGCACAUAUAGUAAAAUUGGAAUGAUACAGAGAUUAGCAUGGCACCUGGGCAUGGAUGAUAUGCAAAUUUGUGAAGGAUUACAUAUUUUU